GUCUUAGCUCAGUUGGUAGAGCAGUUGCCUUGUAAGCAUCAGGUCGUAGGUUCGAGUCCUAUAGACG
rnacentral:tRNA from 1 species